AUCCUGUUGACGAGUCCCAAAUAGGACGAAACACACGUCCUGUAU
rnacentral:hammerhead_ribozyme from 1 species